rnacentral:rRNA from 1 species
AUGGCCGCAGUAUACUAACUGUGCAAAGGUAGCAUAAUCACUAGUCUUUUAAUUGAAGGCUGGUAUGAAUGGUUGGACGAGAUACUAACUGUUUCAUAAAAAUUUAUAAUAGAAUUUUAUUUUUUAGUCAAAAAGCUAAAAUAUAUUUAAAAGACGAGAAGACCCUAUAAAUCUUUAUAUUUAAAUUAUUAUAAUUUUGAAGAUUUAUUUUGUUGUAAUAAUUAAUAAUAUUUUAUUGGGGUGAUAUUAAAAUUUAAUAAACUUUUAAUUUUAAAAUUCAUUAAUUUAUGAAUAAUUGAUCCAUUAAUAGUGAUUAAAAGAAUAAGUUACU